rnacentral:rRNA from 1 species
AUUGAACGCAGGCGGCAGGCCUAACACAUGCAAGUCGAGCGGGGUUUUCGGACCUAGCGGCGGACGGGUGAGUAAUGCGUAGGAAGCUGCCCGAUAGAGGGGGAUACCAGUUGGAAACGACUGUUAAGUACCGCAUAAUGUCUACGGACCAAAGUGUGGGACCUUCGGGGCCGACAUGCUAUCGGAUGCGCCUACGUGGG